ensembl:snoRNA U3 Small nucleolar RNA U3
AAGACUGUUUCCAGGGGUCAUUUCUAUCCUCUGUCAUUGACAGUUUCAGUUUCUCCAGUUUCUGGAACCCCAGAAAACACAAGAGAAGCAGGAGGCAGCCUUCUCUCCUGGAUGUGAAACCAGCUUUUGGUGUUGCUUCUGCACCUGCCACUUGCCAUCGAUAAUUGUCCUUCUCUUCCUUUGGGAGAGCAGGAGAGAGAGGAUGUCACUGAGUGGU